GAGCCUCUCCCCGAUUUUCUCUUCCUCUCCGACCUCUUCACCUUCUUCCGGCCAUAACUCCUCCAUCCGGCGACGGAUUUUGACGUGUAAGAUGUCGUUGGAAAGCUCUCUUCCUUCUCUUCAUUUCUGGGUUCGUUUCGUAGCUUAAUAUGAACUGUGGAAGGUGCAGCAACGAGAAGAAGAGGACGGUCACUGUAGCAGUUUUGAGUCAACGCCGAUAUUUUCCGAUUCCGGCAGUCUCCGGCCACCAAAUUGGCGUCGAAGGGUUCUUGGAAUUUCUGGAAAAUUUUCACCGGCCAAAUUGGAGCUCUUCCAGGGCAAUGCCGCGAGCUACUGUUAAAUGAAGGAACUCGUUUGCGUGGUCGCCCAAUAGUACUUUUGCAGGCGAAAUUAGUUGAGGUCGGGCGUACAUGGAGUCGAGGCAUAGCCAACAGCAUUGCUUCCGCGGGUUAUUGUGCAGGUUAGAAGAUCGAUUAAUUGUCAUCGAAGCUGAGGUGUACGUUCGGUAGCGUGGACGUCGAAUGAUACUCUUAGUUUUAAGUCUUUCGCUGUGUAGUGACUAGUGAGUUGUGGUGGGUGUGUUUACUUAUUGAAUUUUCAUUCAGUUUAAUUUGUAAACUAUCUGUAAUGUAAUAUGUGACUCUAAAGAACGAGUCGGUAUUGACAUUGUGAGUUCAGUUUGUUUAGUUGCUUAAUUUAAAUGAAAAAUUU